rnacentral:rRNA from 1 species
AAAUUGAAGAGUUUGAUCAUGGCUCAGAUUGAACGCUGGCGGCAGGCCUAACACAUGCAAGUCGAGCGGUAGCACAGAGAGCGUGCUCUCGGGUGACGAGCGGCGGACGGGUGAGUAAUGUCUGGGAAACUGCCUGAUGGAGGGGGAUAACUACUGGAAACGGUAGCUAAUACCGCAUAACGUCGCAAGACCAAAGUGGGGGACCUUCGGGCCUCAUGCCAUCAGAUGUGCCCAGAUGGGAUUAGCUAGUAGGUGAGGUAACGGCUCACCUAGGCGACGAUCCCUAGCUGGUCUGAGAGGAUGACCAGCCACACUGGAACUGAGACACGGUCCAGACUCCUACGGGAGGCAGCAGUGGGGAAUAUUGCACAAUGGGCGCAAGCCUGAUGCAGCCAUGCCGCGUGUGUGAAGAAGGCCUUCGGGUUGUAAAGCACUUUCAGCGGGGAGGAAGGCGUUAAGGUUAAUAACCUUG